GACUAGACCUUUCAUUUCAAGGCUCUCAGG
rnacentral:piRNA from 1 species